CUGGAUGCCUGUCUGGUAGAAAAGGCGCGAUUGCUUCUCUUCCUCUUGUGUCCAAGAUCGGGCUUUGAAGUCUAACACCCGUUUUAGCUUCACUCCCUGCCACACACCGCAAGUGUCUUCUCAGUGUUCUUCAGUCACCAACCAGUUCCUCUGGACAGUUCUUGUCAUAACCCCAUUUCACAGACAAAGGCUUAGGAGGGAAAAAGAACCAAACUGUUUCCUGUGUUAGCCAUUUUAAUACUGUCCAACCCCAAACGCCCAGUUCCCAUCCCUGAUGCUUCUUGUGCCUGUGUCUUGAACCUUCAGGAUGGGGGGGGGGCCUGUCUCUUGGAUAGCUUUGUGCAGUUUCUUUAUAAAUCUGCAUUGUUGCUUCUGGUUUAUGGCCAUGAAGAAAAUACCAGCCCCCACCCAAAAUGCACCGCAGCCAACUCGGUUAAAGGCAAUGAGUGUUGGAGUCAGUAGGGGGCGCAUUCUCUGCACUGGGUAAGGCUGCAGAGGGGGGAAGGGCCCCAGAACUGGAACAGGAUGUGCUUAACAGCGCCUUCUACAGACCAAUCGAAAAUGGGUCCAGCAAGACUUGCACUUAGUUGAGCUGACAGCAACAUGGCGAAGGAUGAAGUGAGCCUACAGAGAGAUUUUUAUUUAAGAAAGCCACAUCAUCGUUUGGAAAGUUUUUACUUGUUCCAAACUGUUCACCCUCAGACUUUGGUUGCUGAUCAGUCACCUUCAUGCACAUCCUUAGGUCAUAGGUUCCCUUUCUCAACCUUCAGGUUUGGAUGCGUCAACAUCUCUUUCCUAGGCCAGAUGGUAAAGGGGGUGUUUUAAAUCUGAAAGUAAUGGGCUUGGGGUAUCACUGGUCAGUCCAAAUCUCUCCAGCUCUUUUGAGAGUGAAAAGUCAUUUUUUUAAGAGGUUUUUAUGGGGUGGUGAUUUUCAUAGCCAUGAGAAAUGGGUGUCAUGAUUUGCAAGGCUUUGUUGGUAAACAUCAGAUCCUUAUUGAGUUCUUCAUUGUCAAACUUAAUAGAGUUGAUUGCAAAUUUUUGUUGCCUUCCAACUUCAGUCUUCCAGCAGUGUGUUCUGUCGGUAGCCAACUGCCUUUGCAAGUGUUGACACCAGGCUUGGUGUGCACCACUUUCUUAGGGUGUGUGGAUUUCCGUAGAUUUUACUCCUGUUGUUAUUUCCAUAGGUGUGAGAUGCACAGUACGAAACCUAGGCCCCAGCUUUUACACCGUGAUGCACAGGGUUGCACUUUUUGUACUGAGCUGAUAGGUGGCCUAGUGGUUAUUCCCUGUACUGCCAUUUUGAGGAUCUGGACUCCGUUCCCUGCCUUGCUCUUUGGACUACAUUGUCAAUUCACACCGGUUCCUCUUAAACCAGGUUGUCCACUGUACUAUACUGACAAGGAAGUGCCUCUAAGCCUGUGGAGCUCUUCACAAGCAGCUGACCACUCUUGAUGUGUCCCUGCCUUGUCCAAGGGUGCCUUCCCUUCAAACAUUAAGUCUAGACGAAUCUCUCACAUGUGUCCUCAUCCCUGUUUUCUUCUUAAGACGUCACUGAGACAUCUUUCUGAAUAAAAUACAAAUAGCAGCUUUACUGACAACCCUACCUCUCAAGAAGUUUGACAUUGAAGUCUGUAUAUCAAACCAGAAACUAUGUUCCAACUUCCUGUCAACAAUCUUGGCAGUUUAAGAAAAGCCCGGAAAACUGUGAAAAAAAUACUUAGUGACAUUGGGUUGGAAUACUGUAAAGAACAUAUAGAAGAUUUUAAACAGUUUGAACCUAAUGACUUUUAUUUGAAAAACACUACAUGGGAGGAUGUAGGACUCUGGGACCCUUCACUUACAAAAAAUCAGGACUAUCGGACAAAACCUUUUUGCUGCAGUGCUUGUCCGUUUUCCUCAAAAUUCUUCUCUGCCUACAAGAGUCAUUUCCGGAAUGUUCAUAGUGAAGACUUUGAAAAUAGAAUUCUCCUUAAUUGCCCUUACUGUACCUUCAAUGCAGAUAAAAAGACUUUGGAAACACACAUUAAAAUAUUUCAUGCUCCAAAUUCCAGCGCACCCAGUAGCAGCCUCAGCACUUUCAAAGAUAAAAACAAAAACGAUGGCCUUAAACCUAAGCAGGCUGACAGUGUAGAGCAAGCCGUGUAUUACUGCAAGAAGUGCACUUACCGAGACCCUCUUUAUGAGAUUGUCAGGAAGCACAUCUACAGGGAACAUUUUCAGCAUGUGGCAGCACCGUACAUAGCAAAGGCGGGAGAAAAAUCACUCAAUGGUGCAGUCCCCCUGGGCACAAAUGCCCGAGAAGAGUGUAACAUCCACUGCAAGCGAUGCCUUUUCAUGCCCAAGUCCUAUGAGGCUUUGGUACAGCAUGUCAUUGAGGACCAUGAGCGCAUAGGCUAUCAGGUCACGGCCAUGAUUGGGCACACGAAUGUUGUUGUGCCCCGAGCCAAACCCUUGAUGCUGAUCGCGCCCAAGCCUCAAGAGAAAAAGGGCAUGGGACUCCCACCAAGAAUCAGUUCCCUUACUUCUGGAAAUGUCCGGUCUUUGCCGUCACAGCAGAUGGUGAAUCGACUGUCAAUACCAAAGCCUAACUUAAACUCAGCAGGAGUCAACAUGAUGUCCAAUGUUCACCUGCAGCAAAACAACUAUGGAGUCAAAUCUGUAGGCCAGAGUUACGGUGUUGGCCAGUCAGUGAGGCUGGGUCUAGGUGGCAAUGCUCCAGUUUCCAUCCCUCAGCAGUCUCAGUCUGUGAAACAGUUACUUCCAAGUGGAAAUGGGAGGUCCUAUGGACUAGGUGCUGAGCAGAGGCCCCCGGCAGCAGCCAGGUACUCCUUGCAGACUGCCAACACCUCUCUACCCCCAGGCCAGGUGAAGUCUCCCUCUGUGUCCCAGUCACAGGCUUCUAGAGUAUUAGGUCAGUCUGGUUCUAAACCUCCACCAGCAGCCACGGGCCCUCCUCCAAGCAACCAUUGUGCCACUCAGAAGUGGAAAAUAUGUACAAUCUGUAAUGAGCUUUUUCCUGAGAAUGUCUAUAGUGUUCACUUUGAAAAGGAACAUAAAGCUGAGAAAGUCCCAGCAGUAGCUAACUACAUUAUGAAAAUACACAAUUUUACUAGCAAAUGCCUCUACUGUAAUCGCUAUUUGCCCACAGAUACUCUGCUCAACCAUAUGUUAAUUCAUGGUCUGUCUUGUCCAUAUUGCCGGUCAACCUUCAAUGAUGUGGAAAAAAUGGCAGCACACAUGCGAAUGGUUCACAUUGAUGAAGAGAUGGGGCCUAAAACGGAUUCUACUCUGAGCUUUGAUUUGACAUUGCAACAGGGGAGUCACACCAACAUCCAUCUCCUAGUGACUACAUACAAUUUGAGGGAUGCCCCAGCCGAAUCAGUUGCUUACCAUGCCCAAAACAAUGCCCCAGUUCCUCCAAAGCCACAGCCAAAAGUUCAGGAAAAGGCGGAUGUCCCUGUUAAAAGUUCACCUCAAGCUGCAGUGCCCUAUAAAAAAGAUGUUGGGAAAACCCUUUGUCCUCUUUGUUUUUCAAUCCUAAAAGGACCCAUAUCUGAUGCACUUGCACAUCAUUUACGAGAAAGACACCAAGUUAUUCAGACAGUUCAUCCAGUUGAGAAAAAGCUAACUUACAAAUGUAUCCAUUGCCUUGGUGUGUAUACUAGCAACAUGACAGCCUCAACCAUUACCCUUCAUCUAGUCCACUGCAGAGGUGUUGGGAAAACCCAGAAUGGCCAGGACAAGACAAAUGCACCUUCUCGGCUCAAUCAGUCUCCAGGCCUGGCCCCUGUGAAACGCACCUAUGAGCAGGUGGAGUUUCCUCUGCUAAAAAAGCGAAAGCUGGAGGAUGAUAGUGACUCCCCCAGCUGCAUUGAAGAGAAGCCUGAAGAACCCGUUGUUUUAGCUUUAGACCCCAAGGGUCAUGAAGAUGAUUCUUAUGAAGCUAGGAAAAGCUUUCUCACAAAGUACUUCAACAAACAGCCCUAUCCCACCAGAAGAGAAAUUGAGAAGUUAGCCGCCAGUCUAUGGCUAUGGAAGAGUGACAUUGCUUCCCAUUUCAGUAACAAGAGGAAGAAGUGUGUCCGUGACUGUGAGAAGUACAAGCCUGGUGUGCUGCUAGGCUUUAACAUGAAAGAACUAAAUAAAGUCAAGCAUGAGAUGGAUUUUGAUGCUGAGUGGCUAUUUGAAAAUCAUGACGAGAAGGACUCAAGAGUCAAUGCUAGUAAGACUGUUGACAAAAAGCUUAACCUUGGGAAGGAAGAUGACAGCUUCUCAGAUAGUUUUGAACAUUUAGAAGAAGAAUCCAAUGGAAGUGGCAGCCCUUUUGACCCUGUCUUUGAAGUUGAGCCUAAAAUUCCUAGUGAUAAUCCAGAGGAGCAUGUACCGAAGGUAAUUCCUGAGGAUGCUUUGGAUUCUGAGAAACUAGACCAAAAAGAGGAGGAGGAUGGUUCAAAGUAUGAAACUGUCCAUUUGACUGAGGAACCAACCAAAUUAAUGCAUGAUGCCUCCGACAGUGAGGUAGACCAAGAUGAUGUUGUUGAGUGGAAAGAUGGUGCUUCACCAUCUGUAAGUGGACCUGGUUCCCAACAGAUCUCGGACUUUGAGGAUAACACUUGUGAAAUGAAGACGGGAACCUGGUCUGAUGAGUCUUCCCAGAGCGAAGAUGCAAGGAGCAGUAAGCCAGCUUCCAAAAAAAAGGCUACGGUGCAAGAAGACACAGAGCAGUUGAAAUGGAAGAAUAGUUCCUAUGGAAAGGUUGAAGGGUUUUGGUCAAAGGACCAAUCACAGUGGGAAAAUGCAUCUGAGAAUGCAGAGCGCUUACCAAACCCACAGAUUGAAUGGCAGAAUAGCACAAUUGACAGUGAGGAUGGGGAGCAGUUUGACAGCAUGACUGAUGGAGUUGCUGAUCCCAUGCAUGGCAGCUUAACUGGAGUAAAACUGAGCAGCCAGCAAGCCUGAGGGCCUGGCGCACCACGGCACAUGGGCCAUGUUGCAUCCUGGACCUCUGUUCUGACUGCAAAGCUGCCUUCUAACUGGCAAUGCCUUGCAAGGACUGGUCAGUCAACAGGCUGUUGGGGACAUGUGACCACUAUAGACCCAGUGGUUAUUUCUAAGUCUAUGACAUGUGAUUGGUUGAUCUUGCUUCAGACCCUUCUCUGGUAGACUCAGUAAUGGAGUGUGAAAAACCAGUAAGCUGGUGGCUCAUGAAUGCACACAGGGAAAAGCAGUUCAUUACUUGCCUUUCCAGCAUCUCUUUCCCUCGUCCUGUGUGUCCAUUACAUCUUUUGCCGUUUGAUGCCACAGCACCCUGAGCAGAGAUGGAAGCCAAGCUUACGAAGAAAACUUGUGGGAAACUGCAAUCUGUCAUUUGCCUAAAGCAUGCUUUCUCUCCAGGUACCGCCUACAAAUUUUUUUAAUCCGUGUAUAUGUUUCCUUUUUACUGCAAAAGUAAACAUCCUUGAGGUUUUUGGUUGGUUUCCCUUUUGAUAAGGAGCAGAACUUGGAUCUGUAUGUAAUUGUCAUGUUGAUGGAUAUAGAUAUGUUGGCCCCCUAAUGGUUUUUCUUCCCACUUUAUGUAUGGCAACAGUUGUACCAGACAGGCAGUUGCUUUGCCUCUGGAGUCUUUUGGCCAUUUUGUUCUGAAGAGAAAGACUGAAGAGCAUGCUUUUGGGGGCACUUGGCACUGACGGAGCUGGUAGAUUGACUACACAGAUACUUCCGAGAACAGGCUAAAUGCAGAGUGCAAUAAGGAGACAGAAGUGGCAUAGCAUUUAGGAUGGGACACGGGGUAGGUCCGCCAUCUCUCAGGAACAUUGCCUUGGAGAAGUAAGAAGUGGCCUGAAAACAGUAAAGGAAAUACACCUUUCCUAAAUCAUUCUUGCCGUGAUACAAUAUGAAUGUGCAGCAGCUAUGGUUCAGGGAAGGCUAUCUCCAUAGCCACAUGCUACAGACACCCAAUCAGUAACACCAGCUGAUCUUUAAGCCACCUCCCACUUAUGGGAAUUUAGCCUAAGCUCUGCCUAGACCACUCACUAAUAAGACUGUUGCAGGUAACAUGGAAGUGAGGUAGAGCUCGUGGUCCUUCUAGACAUCUGAGGGAGGCCCGGGUGCUGCCUUGCCAAGUGGAUGGGCGGGUAAGAGACCUCCAGCACCAAAAAGGGUUUAGCCACCGCAGUGGAAAUGGGUUCCCAAAUGGAAAUAGUGCUGAAGUUCUGAGAGUGUCUCAAUAAAAGCCAUUUUGAAAGAACCCCUUUGCUCCUGUUUGCUUUUGGCUGAAUCUGACAGUCAUUCAACUUAACCAUAACUUGCACUUUAGAAACUGCCUGGAACUCUAAGCUUAAACAUUCUAUAGAUUUUUUAAAGAAAUCUUAAUCCCAGAGGUCAUUGCAUUUUUGCACUUGAAAUUUUGUGUGGCUGCAAGUUCUAGUUCAUGAUUCCAGUGGACAGCGGUUUGUCUCCCAUCAUUGUGGGGGGCAUAAAAGAUUCAUCCAGCUGUCUCUAAAAUACAGGGAGAAUCAAAGUCCCCUUCUUGCCUAAAUGUGUGUCCAUUUGAUCUCAGUGCUUGCUGUUGGCAUAGUGAGAGGCCAAGUAUUUAAAGAUGGGAACUCAACAGCUGAAGCAUUGCAAGGAGUGUUCUGACUACUCUCCCACACACAAGUUCCUCCUCUGCCUCUACCUCACUGCCAAAAUGGGGCCCAAAAAUCUCCAAGUGGCUCCCUGCCCUUCACCUGAAAUGAAGAAUCUCCUCUUAAUGUUGACUGAACUAAACAGGAUCAUUUUGAGCAAUGGUUGAUCCUACCCAUUGCCACUAUUUAUAACCCUGCCGUUCAGAGCUGGUACCAACUGUAAGCCUGAUUCAAUACAGCAUUCAUUUGAAAGAUCUGGAAAAUCCCAAAGAUAACAAAUAAAGGGUGAAGAAUACCUGUGAUGACAUUCCAGGAUGGCAGCGAGCAAUUGGCUCUGAGUCUGAAAUGGCAUCUCUCCACGCCUCUGGGAAGCUAGCUGUUCUGUCCUGAAGACUUGGCCAGUAAGCAUCUGGCCCCUUCUCCAUCAGCUGGAACUUGAACUCUAAUGUGAUUGCAGGCCUCUAUUGAGGAUGACUGGAAGUAAAGGUGAUUAAGAUACUCCCCCUGGGAAUCCUCAGGUUGCACUUUUCGAAGUUCUUCAAGUGAAGAUAUGGGAACCCAAGACUACAUCCCAGCAGGGUUAUUGCAUUCAGAUGCUAUCUUCAUAUGACCUUCCCUUCCAGUGCGCCAUCUGACCUUCAGGCGUCAGACCACUUAGACGAGUUUGCAGUUUACAACUUCGUGUGCCCUUAGGUCUUAGGAGCAAAAAAAAUGUACACCCCAAUAGAGUGGUUACCUUUUGGGAGCUAAUAAAGUGCUAGAAGUAAAAGGGC